rnacentral:lncRNA from 1 species
UGUUUCUCUUUAGGUUUUUUAGCCUUUGGGUUGCCAGUUUAUUUUCUACUUAUGAGUGUGAAUGUCACUUUCACCCGUCUUUUGCGAUACAUUACAACUUUGAUGUUUAUAUAUACAGAUUGUUUUUAUUUUAUAAUUAUGUUAGCAUUAAGAUUAUACAAUUUAAGUUUUUACAACCAUUUCAGACAUUCCCCUAAAAUCAAGACAUAAACCUUAUUCAGCGUUAUACGUUGUUGUUGACGAUAGAAGUUCUUAAUACUAUCGCAUAUUUUACUACGACGCGUAAUUGUGAUAUAUAUAAACCAUAUUAUCGCUAUUUUGUGCAUUUUUCUUUUGAUCUGUUUUUGUGAUAAUUUUCAUAUCUUGCUUCUCGCUUGAGAUGGAAAAAUUAUCGCUAGAAACAAAGGAGGCCACGUGGCGUUGCUAACGAAAUUAACAUUGAAAAUGACGUCGUCAUAGGUAAAAUAGCGAUAAACAGAUUAGCAUUGGUCAUCUCAACUCGAUUGCUUUUCUCACUUUCGCUGUACCAGCUCAAGCGAGAAAAUCAAUCUCGUUGAGAUGAUCAACAAUAAUCUAUAAAGAUCAAUCAAAAUAAAAUGUUGGUCUUGGUUUAGAAUGUCCUUUUAUUAUUAAUUUUUGCGAUACUUCUCAAACUCAAAAACCUGCAAAAUUUCAGUAAUGAGCAUUCAAAACUACUUCGAAAUAAAGAUUUAGAAUCUUAAAAAUAGACACCAAGCUGUCGCAUAAGGAAUGUUAACAAAGUUUCUGGAAUACAUUUUGUGUGAAAAAUACCCUACCUUUCUUGAAGCGCGAGACCAAGAUUCGAGAAAUAUCCUAUCGCAAGUACUUCAAUUAUUGAAUCUGUAUCUAAAGCAUUUUGAUGGCAUUUUUUUUAACCUCAUUGAUCUGCACAUUAUUUGCUGUUACCUUUCCCUCUACAAUUGAACAGUCACAAGACGGCAAUAUAAAUUCGAUGUUACCAUUCACGUAUAGAUCAAAGGAAUAACUGUGAACAACCGAAACACAUGUUGAUUAUGAAGAAAUAACCGAUCGGAGAGGAACAGAGAGGUUGAUUGUUUACUUGGUUAACUCGUUUCAACCCACCAAAGGUUUAUAUAUAAAGUCAAAAACCUUUUCAUGGUUGUUCUUGUUAAAUUUUACUGUUGUUGUCAAUUAUAGAUUUUGGUGUUAUUGGUAUAUCUUGUUUCAUCUAUGUUUAAUUCUUCAAAACAUG